CCUACGGGAGGCAGCAGUAGGGAAUCUUCCACAAUGGACGAAAGUCUGAUGGAGCAACGCCGCGUGAGUGAAGAAGGGUUUCGGCUCGUAAAGCACUGUUGGUAGUGAAGAAAGAUAGAGGUAGUAACUGGCCUUUAUUUGACGGUACUUACUUAGAAAGUCACGGCUAACUACGUGCCAGCAGCCGCGGUAAUACGUAGGUGGCAAGCGUUGUCCGGAUUUAUUGGGCGUAAAGCGAGUGCAGGCGGUUUAAUAAGUCUGAUGUGAAGGCCUUCGGCUCAACCGGAGAAUUGCAUCAGAAACUGUUGAACUUGAGUGCAGAAGAGGAGAGUGGAACUCCAUGUGUAGCGGUGGAAUGCGUAGAUAUAUGGAAGAACACCAGUGGCGAAGGCGGCUCUCUGGUCUGCAACUGACGCUGAGGCUCGAAAGCAUGGGUAGCGAACAGGAUUAGAUACCCUUGUAGUC
rnacentral:rRNA from 1 species